rnacentral:rRNA from 1 species
AUUGAACGCUGGCGGCAUGCUUUACACAUGCAAGUCGAACGGUAACAGGUUAAGCUGACGAGUGGCGAACGGGUGAGUAAUGCAUCGGAACGUGCCCGGUCGUGGGGGAUAACACUUCGAAAGAAGUGCUAAUACCGCAUACGAUCUAAGGAUGAAAGCGGGGGACCGUAAGGCCUCGCGCGAUCGGAGCGGCCGAUGUCAGAUUAGGUAGUUGGUGGGGUAAAGGCCUACCAAGCCGACGAUCUGUAGCUGGUCUGAGAGGACGACCAGCCACACUGGGACUGAGACACGGCCCAGACUCCUACGGGAGGCAGCAGUGGGGAAUUUUGGACAAUGGGCGAAAGCCUGAUCCAGCAAUGCCGCGUGCAGGAAGAAGGCCUUCGGGUUGUAAACUGCUUUUGUACGGAGCGAAAAGGCUCUCUCUAAUACAGGGGGCUGAUGACGGUACCGCAAGAAUAAGCACCGGCUAACUACGUGCCAGCAGCCGCCGUAA